UACGUAGGGUGCGAGCGUUGUCCGGAAUUAUUGGGCGUAAAGAGCUCGUAGGCGGUGUGUCACGUCGGCCGUGAAAACCUGCAGCUUAACUGUGGGCGUGCGGUCGAUACGGGCAUCACUGGAGUUCGGCAGGGGAGACUGGAAUUCCUGGUGUAGCGGUGAAAUGCGCAGAUAUCAGGAGGAACACCAACGGCGAAGGCAGCUCGCUGGGACGGUACUGACGCUGAGACGCGAAAGCGUGGGGAGCGAACAGG
rnacentral:rRNA from 1 species